GAUGGGCGCAAUGUGGUGGACGCAGAGAAGCUAAGAGAGAUCGGGUUUAUUGUCUACUCGAUCGGGAAGCCAUUGGAUGCAUGGCUCAAAGACAUGCCUGCUGUGGCCUAAAAGGGAAAUUUACUGGUAGAAGGCGAGACAGAGCAGAGAUCGGUGAAAUUUGAGUAGCUCGUUCAAUUCAUCAGGCUUGGUUUAAGGAUUUUUCAUAAUUGUU
rnacentral:misc_RNA from 1 species